CCUACGGGUGGCAGCAGUGGGGAAUAUUGUACAAUGGGGGAAACCCUGAUGCAGCGACGCCGCGUGGGUGACGAAGUAUUUCGGUAUGUAAAGCUCUAUCAGCAGGGAAGAAGAUGGAAGUUACUGGCUAAGAAGCCCCGGCUAACUACGGGCCAGGAGCCGCGGGAAUACGGAAGGGGGAAUGGUUAUCCGGAUUUAAUGGGGGGGAAGGGAGCGGUGGGGGGCUGGGAAGGCCGAAGUGGAAACCCGGGGCUUAACCCCGCAGAUUUCUGUUGAAACUGUCAGGCUGGAGUGCAGGAGGGGCAGGCGGAAUUCCUGGUGUAGCGGUGAAAUGCGUAGAUAUUAGGAGGAACACCAGUGGCGAAGGCGGCCUGCUGGACUGUAACUGACACUGAGGCUCGAAAGCGUGGGGAGCAAACAGGAUUAGAUACCCGAGUAGUC
rnacentral:rRNA from 1 species